ACGUGAUGGUCUGCUGAAACCCAGGCCCGCUCAACAGUUACCUGCUGAACAAAUCAUUUACCUUACAAAACACAUUACUCAUCAGUUACCUUGAAGAAAUCAUUUACCUCAGAGUUUUCUCAUUUCUUUACAAUGAAAACUGGGCCAGAGAAUGAGCUGCACUUAGGUGCCAGGUAUGUGAUGGAAACACAUGAAUGGGCUCAGCCAUCAGGCUGUGACAGUGUUGGAUGGCAGUGACAUCAUGACAGUGACAUGAUGGGUAGAGAUCUGCCUGCCUUUCCUAAAGGCAUUCCAAACCAAAGUUAAGGAAAUAAAAACAAUCUGUAGGCACAAUCAAACCCGGAGGUCUGUUUGCAGUCUCUGGGUUAGAUAGUAUUUCUCUCCCUUCCCAGUCCUCAUCAUUUUGUAGUACUUG